rnacentral:lncRNA from 1 species
UGGGGAUUGAACUCAGGGGCACUCAACCACUGAGCCACAUCCCCAGCCCUUUUUUGUAUUUUAUUUAGAGACAGGGUCUCACUGAGUUGCUUAGGGCCUCGCUAAGUUGUUGAGGCUGGCUUUGAAUUUAUGAUCCUCCUGCCUCAGCCUCCCCAGCCACUGGGAUAACUGGCGUGCACCACUGCUCAGGAUGUCCUCUUAAUACUGCCCAAGCAGGACAUUGUAGGUGUAUACUAGGGCUCAUGAAUUUCACCACCUAAUAAUUCUCCUUGUGGUCAGCAGCCUUCCACACCCAGAAACUGAAACCAAGUGGUAGCAGAAGCAAAAAACUGCAGUCAUCUUCCUAUGUUGCCUAAUUGCCACCUUAGGAUGAAGUCAGUCAGGCUUUCUAGGCACCAGGAGCAGCAGGAAAAAAAAAUCAGAAAUAACUGGAAAUAGUUACGGUGAGAUUGCAGACAUGGAGUGCCAGUCUCCCGCUCCUCCUGCCUCCAUCUGACCUUCCCUAAGCGGUGGGAAAUUUUAAUAAUUGAUCAGAAAAAGUAUUCCAUCAUGUGCAUAUUCUAGCACUGUCUACUACAGAUAGUCUCAGAUGUUUAUGAGAAAGAAAAAAUUUAAUAACUGUUUCAGUUUUAAUACAGAUAAGCUUAAGUAAUAGCCUUUGUUACUAUCCUUACAAGAUAAGAAGAAUGUCUUCUGAUUUUAAUCUAUAAAAUUAAUGCAAGCCCGUGUUCUAGUUGAGAUAUAACUAAAGUCAGACUUCUCAAGAUUUAAACUUCCUAAAUAUCCUAUAUUAGAUUUGUGGAUCAAAUAAGUUAUCAUUGUUUCCACUGAAUAUUGAAGAUCACAAACAUAAAAUGGUUUUUUACUAAAUGAAAUUUUAGUUACAGAUGUCAUUUCAAAGGAUUGGCGCUUAUAAAUUUCUUGUAAGUUUACAGAUCAUAAGGGUUUAAUGUGUUAGCUAAAACUGUAAUUUCCAGAUCUUUAGUUAACCUUUGCUAAGAUUUUAAAUAUUAGGCUGAAUUCAUUGACAAUCUUUGGAUAUUUGGAUAGUUUCUAAGUAAAAGAAUAUAUAAAGCUUUUGGUCACUAAACAUAGCUUCAAUUUACCCUUAUUUGCAUGUAUUAUAAAAUGGUACACAUUUACUGGUAUACAUUAAAAUGUUCCAGUGCUUUGGAUGAUGUCAUAUGCUCAUUUUGCCACCUUAAAAUUUAUAUAGAUAAUCUGAAAAUUGUGCUCAGAGAAAAUCAGCUAGAUGGUUCCUGGUUUUCUCUUGGUUUAGAGAAAACAGAAGUUAAUUAUUUAGAUUAAAAGAGAUAAAAAUAAUCAAGACUAUAUAUGAUAUUGUAAUUACAUAAAAUAUAAAUAUGUCUGGAAGAAAACAGAUAUGAUUUGUUACCUAAGGAUACUAUUUGUUAAAAUGCGUGUUUCAAUGUAAUAUCAACAUUGUUUUGUUUAAUAUGCUAAGACUGAUUA